rnacentral:rRNA from 1 species
GAUGAACGCUAGCUACAGGCUUAACACAUGCAAGUCGAGGGGCAGCAUGGUCUUAGCUUGCUAAGGCCGAUGGCGACCGGCGCACGGGUGAGUAACACGUAUCCAACCUGCCGUCUACUCUUGGACAGCCUUCUGAAAGGAAGAUUAAUACAAGAUGGCAUCAUGAGUUCACAUGUUCACAUGAUUAAAGGUAUUCCGGUAGACGAUGGGGAUGCGUUCCAUUAGGUAGUAGGCGGGGUAACGGCCCACCUAGCCGACGAUGGAUAGGGGUUCUGAGAGGAAGGUCCCCCCANAUUGGAACUGAGACACGGUCCAAACUCCUACGGGAGCAGCAGUGAGGAAUAUUGGUCAAUGGGCGAGAGCCUGAACCAGCCAAGUAGCGUGAAGGAUGAAGGUCCUACGGAUUGUAAACUUCUUUAUACGGGAAUAAAGUAUCCUACGUGUAGGAUUUUGUAUGUACCGUAUGAAUAAGCAUCGGCUAACUCCGUGCCAGCA